rnacentral:misc_RNA from 1 species
AUCUCCUUUGACGAUGUGCCCAAACCGGAGCCGGGUGCGGGAGAGGUGGUCGUGCGAGUUAACGCCGCCGGUGUCGGGCCCUGGGACGCGUUGAUUCGUAGCGGCAAAAGCGUGUUUUCGCAGCCGCUUCCUUUGAUUUUAGGAGGUGAUAUGUCCGGCGUGGUUGAUUCGCUCGGUCCCAGCGUAGCAAAUCUGAAAGUCGGCGACGAAGUUUUCGGCGUGACUAACGAGCAUUUUACCGGAGCGUACGCGGAAUACGCGGUCGCCGAA